rnacentral:rRNA from 1 species
GAUGAACGCUGGCGGCGUGCCUAAUACAUGCAAGUCGAGUGAACAGAUGAAGUGCUUGCACUUCUGACGUUAGCGGCGAACGGGUGAGUAACACGUAAGGAAUCUACCUAUAAGCGGGGGAUAACAUUCGGAAACGGGUGCUAAUACCGCAUAAUAUCUUCUUCCGCAUGGAAGAAGAUUGAAAGACGGCUCUGCUGUCACUUAUAGAUGACCUUGCGGUGCAUUAGUUAGUUGGUGGGGUAAUGGCCUACCAAGACGAUGAUGCAUAGCCGACCUGUGAGGGUGAUCGGCGACAUUGGGACAGAGACACGGCCCAAACUCAUACGCGAGGCAGCAGUAGGGAAUCUUCCGCAAUGGGCGAAAGCAUGACGGAGCAAUGCCGCGUGAGUGAAGAAGGCCUUCGGGUCGUAAAACUCUGUUAUAAGAGAAGAACAAAUUGUAGAGUAACUGCUACAGUCUUGACGGUAUCUUAUCAGAAAGCCACGGCUAACUACGUGCCAGCCGCCGCCGUAA